rnacentral:rRNA from 1 species
UGCUUUUUGUAAAUAUAAAAAGUAUUACCUGCCCAAUGAUUAAUUUAAUGGCUGCAGUAUAUUGACUGUACAAAGGUAGCAUAAUCAUUUGCUUUAUAAAUUAAAGCUUGUAUGAAUGGUAUUAUGAAAAUAUGACUGUCUUUUAUUUAUCAAUAAAAUUUGAUUUUCCAGUGAAGAGACUGUAAAUUUUUAGAAAGACGAGAAGACCCUAAUGAGUUUUAUAUAUUGUUAUAUAUUAUUAUAAUUAUAUAUUUUAUUGGGGCAAUAAGAGAAAAAAUCUUCUUUUUAUAUAAAAGAAUAAUAUUUAAUGAACCAUUAAUAAUGAUUAAAAGUUUAAAUUACCAUAGGGAUAACAGCAUAAUUCUUUUCAAGAGUACUUAUCGACAAAAGAGAUUAUGACCUCGAUGUUGAAUUAAGAAAAUUAUAUGAUGAAGAAAUUAUAUAAAUAAGUCUGUUCGACUUUUAAAUUCUUACA